rnacentral:lncRNA from 1 species
AAAAGGGAAGUGGAAGGACCCAGGAGAAGGGAGUCAGAGAUAGAGAGCCAUGGUGGGGGAUGGGCUCAUGGUGGCUACCGACAUCAACUCUGGUUCUAGGUCCUCAAGGCCUGUGAUGGCCGACCAUGUGCUGGGGUGGUGCAGAAGUUCCUGGCCUCAGUGCUCCCAGCCUGUGGGGACCUCAGUUUCUAGCAGGAUCAGAUGACACAGACUUAUGGCUUCAGGGACCCAGAGAUCACGCACCUGGUGAACGCUGGGGUCCUCACUGUCCGAGAUGCUGGAAGCUGGUGACUGGCUGUGCCUGAAGCUGGGAGAUUCAUCGAGUGCUUUGUUAAAGGUAUGAUGCCCGAGGAGCAACACCCAUGGGGGGUCUUUAGGUCUCCAAAUUUGACUCACUUCUUCCUUUUCCUGGACCUUCUCCUCCAGGGCGCCAGGCUGUACUGAGCAUGGUGCGGAAGGCCAAGUACCGGGAGCUUGCCCUGUCAGAGCUCCUGGGCCGCAGGGCCCCUUUGGCAGUGCGGCUAGGUCUUGCCUACCAUGUGCACGACCUCAUUGGAGCCCAGCUGGUGGACUGGUGAGUCUAGUCCUGAGACUUGGGAAACGUGCAGGGACCCAGGGUUGGCGUCCCCCUAAGUGUUGCUUCUGUCAUCAGUGAAGCCGAGAUUCUCUCAUUCCGGGACUUGGGAGAAGACUGGAUUAAAUUCUGGAUUUGCACACUUUGGGUCUAGGCAGCUGACUCCAGUCUUGUCUUUCUGUUACACAGUGUCCCCACCACUUCUGGAACCCUCCUUCGCCUGCCAGAUACAUGAGGAGCCAAUGCUUGGAUUCUGCAACUCACUGAGUGAGGUUCCUGGAAGUGCCACCCCAGGGUGGCUGAACAAGUCACCGCAGUGGGUGCCAGGCUCUGCUGCUGCAAGCUGGGCUUCUACCUGAGCUGGGCUGUGGGCAUUGCAGCUCUUGCUUCUGUGCGUGUGGAGUCAGGAGCCGUGCCAAGGGGAUGAGAAGGUGGGAUUGCUGGAGACACUGGAGCAGGGAGUAGAAAACUCUGCCCUUCACGUCAGGCUGAAAUUGCCAAAUAAAAUACUUGUGCCUGCACUUCUUAC